ACAGUACUUGCCGGAUCAAAUUCGAUCACCACUGGUGGUGUUGUGAGACCAGCUUCGGAAUUUGUUAUUCACAUUGGAUGGAAUAACGUAACUAGGGUCAAUGACAUCGCACUAAUUAAGGUUGGAAUUGUGUCGUACUGGACACCCAAUGAAUGUGCCCUAGGGCAACCAGUGGUUAAUAUUCGACUAACGGAAUAUCGAUUAUGGAUUCUGGCUAAUAUUUUGCAGUAAGACGGUCGCAUUGUUUAACUAUGUAAAUAUGUGCAGGAUUGAAGGACUCUUGUUAUUGUCCGAUAC